rnacentral:ncRNA from 1 species
CGACAGGCAAAGAUAGGGAGUAGUAGAAUGUGACCCCUUCAGAGAGAGAAGUCAUUUGCUGAAAGAUUUCUCAGGAUUAGAGCAUUCGAAGUCGCCCUUGAGCUGUUUCUCUGAACGUGUAGUAGGAGAGACCGGUAAACCCGUUAUUCGAAUGAAGCGUACAGCUAAACGCUUAUUUAGCUGUAAAUAAAGGUGGUACCGCGAAAAAACUUCUUUCGUCCUUUUC